CAAACAGAAACGGUUGCGCGUGGUUGCAGAUGUCAGAGCUGACAAUUACCGUUGCUGCGCGCGCUGGAAAAGAAAGACGCUGGCGAGCCAAGACGAGUCGGCUUGAAGAGCGUGGACGGGAAGUAUUUGUGUCUCUGCACACAGCGCAGCCGCAAAUGCGGUUACGCACCGACAAAGGAGAAGCAGAAGGUGAAUUUGAUGGCGUCUUUCGUCGCUUCCUUUAUUCUUCGCCUUUGUGGACGGCUUCUCCGCGCACCGCCUCGCAACAAUGUACACCGUAUUACCAGCCUUCCGACUGCCUUUCCUGCGAAGAGGAUGGAAUUCUGGCCCGCUAGUGCAGCCUUUUCGGAAGCAUCGCCACUUACGGCGUUCAUCGUGUUUCCGUGUUCGUUUUAUAUUUUCUAGAUUGCACAUUGGAUUUAUUAAAAGUAUUCUCAUGUUUCCUUUUUAGGAUGAUCGCUUAAGGUGUCAACUAAAGAGGGUGACAGCUAGCCGACGUCGAUGACCUUACUUGGUGUUUUAAUUUCUUCGUGCCCCACGACGUGGAUUGAAGACAGGAGGGAUGAUGGCUCUACUAGGCAAGAGAGUAAAGAAAACAUGCAGGGAGAUGAAAGUCCUCGUGAGUAGCGAGAGGUUGCGAGGCAGGGACAAAAAGCGGACAGUUCUGGCGCCUGUAAUAGGGCAUACAUAAAAGUUCUCAUAGUAAAACUAAGUUACACCGCUAAUACGUCAGAAGUGUUCCCAUCCCCUCGAGAUAACUAAAUGUCGUUACUUGCCAUUGCUAAUUAAGGCGGCAGUCAUUGCAGAAUUAAGGAGAAGUUGCCGACAAGAGCUUUCAUCAUAAUACAGUAGAAAAUCCUUACAGAUAACCUGCAUGUGCGUAAGCUACCGUUAAACUGAAAAGAAAUUAUGGUCUUGAUUAGAUGUCCAUAGGUGUCGAUCCACAUGUUUGUUUUCUUUGGUAUGAUUAGGUUUCUUCGUUCCUGGAGUUUAUUAUUUUAAAAGAAAUUUGGAGUUUUUCGCGGUGCGUUUCAAAUUAACAUUUGCAUGCCCCAAAAUAGGAGUUUUCGGAUUUUAUUAAUUUUUCCCCCAGAAUUUAGGCAACUGUUCUUUAAUACAAAAACACACUUUCUAAACGAAUAUAUUUAUUGAGCAACUGGUAUACCAGAAUCAUCGUCGCUGUUUACAAUUUGUUCUAAUAUAUACAAGCAUAUUUUCCGAUGUUUGCACGCACAAAUGUUCUUGUUUGCGACACUGAACACAUAGAGAAUGCCCUUUCGACGUUCGCACUAGAUAUUAGGAAGGCUAUCAGAUGUAGUGCACAACGUGAAAGAAGAAGCCAGUCGGGGGCAUGCGUGCGCCGUAACGGCUCCACAAGCCUUUUGACGUCAUAUGCCUGAUACUGCAAGAAUUCUACCGCAGGUCGGGGGAUAUCAUUGCUCUCAGCCACAACUAGGGCGAAUAAUGGCAAGUAAGUCUCGAUUAUCCGGGAGAAGUCGAUAUUUACAUUGGGGUUUAUAAUUUUCACCCGAAUCGCUGUUAUACUGCAGUUCACUGGCAACGUUCCUUUCGACAGUACGGCUCCACAUCUCAACCACUGUGUAGUAGUACUUCCUAAAAGAAGCAACUGUGUCCGAUCGCCUUUCCUCUUCAAGAAUGUCAAGCAUGCAAUAUGACCUUGCUCACCCAAGUUCGCUAUCGUCACAUCGCUCCACUGAGUAAAGAGAGCAUUCAUGCGCACAGCAAGUAUACGGACUAAAGUCGACUCCCUCAAGAUACUUGAUAAUGGACACCAAUCUGAGCUUUAUGAACAGCUCGUGCACACAGCCAGCUGGUUGCGCGCCCAUUUUCAGCUUAUCGCGUUUUGUGCCUUGAUAAGUGCAUCCUCGUGGUGUCAUAAAGAUGCCAUGAAGCGCGGUAUUUGCGGCGAAAUGAAUUGGCCAGUCCGAUGAACAAAAGUCAUCAUCUAGGCAUCCAAAUAGCGUUGACCUCUCAAGCCACCUUAAAUUUGCGCAGAGCAAAGCAGCCAGGUUCAUUUAUCUGCAUAGUUCAUCACAUCAAAAUGUAACAGCGUUAAAGUGAAGGCUUAACCUCUAUAAUCUUGACAUACGACGCAGCAUAUCUCGUUUGCGUUUUUUUUUUUUACUCAAUGUGUUAAAUCAAUACAGUUCUUGCAAGUAGGAAUGUUCUUCCUGCGCAUCAUAUCUCUUCACUCAGAUAUCAUCGUUGAAAGUAGAACCAAUUUUCGCAAGAACAUUGAAAUUUAAGAACUCGCCAUUUGGUGUUGUCAGUAAACAAGUGGGAUGAUCUGCUGGCACAAAUAGUUACCCUGACUCAUGCAUCAUCCUUUAGGACAGAAUUGCUUAUGUAUCUGGAUCGAGCCGACAUUCAGCAACCCUAAUCAAAUCAAUGUGCAAGAAAUCUAUGCUUCAUAUAGUAUACCUCUUUCUUGAUUAUGAGAUGACAUCUGUAUUACUGUCCUGCUUUGAUUUGUAAAUGCCUAAUUACUAUGCUACUUACGAUAUUUUGCUAUGUUCCUUGGUAUUUGUAACCUUGUUGUACCUUAUGAUUGUAUAAUACUCCCCGCCUCCCCCCCUUUGUGAUGCCCUGUGGGCCUUCAGGUUAUUGAAAUAAAUAAGUAAAAUAAAGCACAGGCACCUCAGAACGAGCUCGGGGCUUGGAUUCUUUUACCUAUUUUUGACGUGACAGCAGUCCGAUAGAAUUAUGAGUAGGAACGUAACGAUUCAAAACACACACAACACAGUGCUCGUUUAAGAAGGGAGCAGCUGUCAAGAAGAAGGAAAUGACAGCCUUCGGUUGCAUCAGAAGGAGCCGACAAGGAGCCGAAAAAUAGGAAGGCCCAGCGGGCGGGUACAGACAUGGCACCGCCGUCCACCAGCACAGCAGCGUGUAGGCGUGUAUAGUCGCGACUUCCGUUCCUUCUCAUUUCUACCGAUGCUCCCUUGCCUCCCAUUUUUACCUAGCCCAUCCUAUCCUCGUCUUGAAACACCCCCUUCCCUUCACACCUCUGCCCAUUUCCUUUUUUUCCUCUUCCUCUCUGUGUAACGACCGCCGUUGUCGUCCACUAUGUAUAGCGGUGCCGGCAGGCGGCGUAGGCAUUGUAUACGUCGCCGGUCGUUGUUUGAACAAGGAGGCACCAAUGCGGGCUCGGAGGAGACGACCGGCGCGGUGCGCACAGGCUCACUUUGAUUUGUCGCUUUGCACUGCGAAGCUAUCAUCGGCCGAUUCUCGCGGGACAUGGGGACAACAGAGGUGUCGGCUGCUUCUAUUCCUUCAUCUUUUUGGGUCCAGACCUCCCUGGGCGACAGCUAGCAUUUGCCUCUCCCCCCUCAACCUCACCGCUCCAUCCCUCGGGGCCGACGCAGUCACCGCCACCGCGCACCGAGGGCACAACAAAGCCUUUGUUUGGUCCAAUACCGGCGUCAAUGGUCCUUCGUGCUUCUCGAGCGUUCGAGCCCCGGACGAAGAAACGCGCGAACGGUGCUCGCGGUUUGCUUUGGCUCCAGAUUGUUGCUGCUCCUAUAAGUAGUUUGUUUGUUCCCCCUUGUUGUGGCUGUUGUUACUGUUGACCGCUGUUGUCCCUCUGGCGGCGCCUCCUGGCCAACAAUGGCCGCACCUCUAGCGAUUCCUUUUUGUUAUUGUUGCCGGCGUACUUCCUAGCGCAUUGCGCGGGAACGUCCUUCUUGCGACACCCCUACAUUCUCACCCCAUCUUCUUUCAAUUUCCACUCGAUCAGGCAACGGGUCUCGCGCCGGCGCAAGAAGCCGCCACCGGUUUUUGUAGGCGGUGCACGAGGCGUGGAUACAAAAGGGCUUUGAUCUGGAAUGACGUGAGGGAGAAGAAGCGCGUUCAAUAUCAGGUGCCAGCGCCGACCAUGACACCUGGGUCGAGUUAGCAAAAAAGGUAAACUACUGCGGUUUGCGCGUUGUAUACAUUUCACCGGAGGGAACUCUUGGGAAUUCCGUAAAUUACAGAUAACGGGCAACACACUUAAAAAAAAAGAAAAAAAGAAAACUUCAAAGUACAGUUAUGCCAUAGGCAGACUAGACACAUUUACUAGUGUUUUCGCAUUUGACUAGUGUUGACUAGUGUUUCCGCAUUUCGCCCCCAUCGAAAUGCGGCUGCCGCGGCCGGGAUUCGUUCCCGCGACCUCGUGAUCAGCAGCCCAACACCAUAUUCACUGAGCAACCACGGCGGGUGACGACAAGCGAAGAGUCGGGAGAAGUUCCUCUGAGAUAUUAAUUCCUAUACACAGAAAACAAAAGUGUGGAAUAGGGUUAGUAGAUUAAAAGGGUAAUCAACCCACUCUUUGCGUCUGGUAAAUGAAGAUGGAAAGAGGUUGGAAGACCAGGCUAACGCUUUCGGGGAGCACUUCGAGCACAUCUCCAGCUCAAUGAAUUAUACACGGUCACUCCUUAAACGCAAAGAACAUAUAGAACGCAUGCCAUCGUAUUGUAAGUACAGACAGAUCGAACCCUACAAUCGCCCUUUUUUCAUUGCCGAGUUAAGAGCCUCCUUAAAGAAAUGUCAGAGCUCUGCUCCGGGACCUGAUAAUGUACGGUAUGGUGAAAUACCUCCACACAGACACCCACAUGACUCUACUCACACCAUUUAAUAAAAUAUGGGCUGCCGGAUACCUUCCAUGUACAUGGACAGAAGCAAUUGUCGUUCUGGUUCUGAAGCAGGGAAAGGACCCUCCUUUAGUGACAAGCUGUCGCCCAAUAGCGCUCAGAAGUUGCCUGUGCAAGCUAUUCGAAAAAAUUAACUGCCGUCUCCUACAUUUUCUCUAAUCGAGCAAAAUGUUGAAACCAUAUCAGUGUGGCUUUUGAGAAGGCCGGUCAAUAACCAAACAUUUGGCACGCAUGGAGGCAAAUAUCCGUAACGCUUUUGUUCAUAAGCAGUUUCUCUUGUCCGUAUUCCUCGACAUAGAAAAGGCCUAUGGUACGACACGACGUUGCGCUUCGGAAUAUUGCGGGACCUGUCCGAGUUGGGUAUUCGGGGGAGCAUGCUGGACUGUUAUAGAAAGCUAUCUAUCUAACCGUAUUUUUCGAGUUAUAAUUGGCAGUUGUGGUGAAACAGGUAGCCCGCCUGCCGAGUCGGCGCCAUAAACUGGACCCAGUGUCACGGCGUACCCGCGGGAGUGAACCUUGCGCGUUGUUGUGCACGCGCUCGAGCGUGGAAGCGCGAAAGGACCGGUGUCGCACGUGCAGUGAAGAAAAAUAAAGACGCAAUACGCCGAUGAAUCAGCAAGUACAAGUACAUAGCGCUAAGCGAAUCGACAGGAGACGCGCGGCUCAGGCAGCCUAGAGAAGGCGAAGAGACCCCGUCGGCAGGGAGACGGAGCUGAGAAGAGGAGCCAGGAGGACGCGUUGGCUUGUGUCGCACGUCAAUGUUUGGGAGGCUGACCACUGUCGGAGGGACCCGGUCGAGCGUCAACGCACGAGGGGACCUCUCAUCGACACGUCUUCCGCACCCGUCAACCAAUUAACCAACCUGUCUUCCAGAGCCCGCCUGCCGCCUCCAGUCUUACCGUUCGCAGAGCGACGCAACACCAAAGUUUGAGUGCGUGGAUGUAGUCGCGAUGAACGCUGUAUAGGGACGCUGAUCUUGCUUGCCCCCAUGCCCUGUGCCUGUGUAUACGUGUCGUUUGUAUGUUUUAAUAUACUUUUGUGUGCGGUGA